rnacentral:rRNA from 1 species
AGAGUUUGAUCCUGGCUCAGGACGAACGCUGGCGGCGUGCCUAACACAUGCAAGUCGAACGAGAAUCUUUGAACAGAUCUUUUCGGAGUGACGUUCAAAGAGGAAAGUGGCGGACGGGCGAGUAACGCGUGAGUAACCUGCCCAUAAGAGGGGGAUAAUCCAUGGAAACGUGGACUAAUACCGCAUAUUGUAGUUAAGUUGCAUGACUUGAUUAUGAAAGAUUUAUCGCUUAUGGAUGGACUCGCGUCAGAUUAGAUAGUUGGUGAGGUAACGGCUCACCAAGUCAACGAUCUGUAGCCGAACUGAGAGGUUGAUCGGCCGCAUUGGGACUGAGACACGGCCCAGACUCCUACGGGAGGCAGCAGUGGGGAAUAUUGCGCAAUGGGGGCAACCCUGACGCAGCAACGCCGCGUGCAGGAAGAAGGUCUUCGGAUUGUAAACUGUUGUCGCAAGGGAAGAAGACAGUGACGGUACCUUGUGAGAAAGUCACGGCUAACUACGUGCCAGCAGCCGCGGUAAUACGUAGGUGACAAGCGUUGUCCGGAUUUACUGGGUGUAAAGGGCGCGUAGGCGGACUGUCAAGUCAGUCGUGAAAUACCGGGGCUUAACCCCGGGGCUGCGAUUGAAACUGACAGCCUUGAGUAUCGGAGAGGAAAGCGGAAUUCCUAGUGUAGCGGUGAAAUGCGUAGAUAUUAGGAGGAACACCAGUGGCGAAGGCGGCUUUCUGGACGACAACUGACGCUGAGGCGCGAAAGUGUGGGGAGCAAACAGGAUUAGAUACCCUGGUAGUCCACACCGUAAACGAUGGAUACUAGGUGUAGGAGGUAUCGACCCCUUCUGUGCCGCAGUUAACACAAUAAGUAUCCCACCUGGGGAGUACGACCGCAAGGUUGAAACUCAAAGGAAUUGACGGGGGCCCGCACAAGCAGUGGAGUAUGUGGUUUAAUUCGAAGCAACGCGAAGAACCUUACCUGGGCUUGACAUCCCUGGAAUCGAGUAGAGAUACUUGAGUGCCUUCGGGAAUCAGGUGACAGGUGGUGCAUGGUUGUCGUCAGCUCGUGUCGUGAGAUGUUGGGUUAAGU